GGGUCCGUAAAGGUUUCGACGGGGAUUUUGAGGUAUGAUAAGCGGGUAGAGCCGGGCAAACUCUGAAACUGCCCAAACUAAAAUUAAACGCUAACGAUAAUAACGUUGCAAUGGCUGCCUAAGGGCAGUGCCGCGGCAUAAGCCGCCCGUUCCUCCCGAGAGUAUCGCGGCUCGGGACUGAGCGUCAAGACAGCGGUGAACGUGCAUAGGCGGUUCGCCAUUGAACCUAUCACGCAGAAAAUGGCUACCGUUCAGUGGGAUUUGUUUGUUGAACCCACCGAAAGGGAAAUCUGAGCAAUAAACUGCACCCGGAGAAGGUCAUAUCAAGAGGUUUUCGGACAGGGGUUCGACUCCCCUCGGAUCCACCA
rnacentral:tmRNA from 1 species